rnacentral:rRNA from 1 species
AUGAUAGGUAUUUUCUGGAAUAUUAGAGGACUUAACAGUCCUUUUAAGGUAGACAAGUUAAAAGAGCUCAUUAGAGCCAACAGCCCUGACUUUAUUUGUAUUUCUGAAACCAAAAAAGAAGAUUUCUCUAUUCUUCAGAUUGAAGCCUUUGACCCCAGGACCAAUUUCCACUAGAAAUGGCUGCCUGCUAUAAACACUGCAGGAGCGGUCCUGUUGGGUUGCAAGCUAGAUACCUUUGACAUUAUUCAAUGUGACCUACACAAUUACUUCAUCUCUUGUUUAAUUAGGAACAAACAAAAUAGCUCUGUUUGGAGACUUAUUUCUGUAUAUGGCUCUGCAUAUGAUCAGUAUAAGAUGGAUUUUAUUAAUGAACUACAUUCCAUCCUAGCUGGCGGGGCAGGACCCACUCUGGUAGGUGGUGAUUUUAAUCUAAUUAGAGAGGCUAGUGAGAAAAGCUCUAGUGCCAUAAAUCAGCACUGGGCUGGCCUCUUUAAUGAUUGGAUUAACAAAUUUGGUCUGAUUGAGUUAAAAGUUAAUGGAAGGAAGUUUACAUGGGGGAACAACCAGGACAAUCUGGUGAUGGCUACUAUUGACAGAGUUUUCAUGCCCACUGAUUGGGCCUCUGAAUUCCCAAGAGUACAUCUCAAAGCUCUUCCUAGAUUGGGGAGUGAUCACACCCCACUGGUUCUUGAUUCCUGUGCCUUCCUCAUUCCCAAGGUUAAACAUUUUAGAUUUGAAAAAUGGUGUCUGGAGGUUGAGGGCUUUAGGGAGGUUGUGACUAAAGCCUGGACUGCCAAAUGCCAUUUUACUAAGGCCAUAGAUAUUUGGCAGUUCAAAAUUAGAAAUUCUAGAAAAGUCAUCAAAGGAUGGAUGGCCAAUUAUGAGGCUGAUCAAAACAGGCAGAAACAAGCUCUGGUGGCUAAAUAUAAUUGCCUUGAUAUUCUUUCUGAAACUAACCCUCCUUCCCCUAAACUAAUAGCAGAAUUAAAAAAAUUGCACGGGAUUUAG